rnacentral:rRNA from 1 species
UACGUAGGGGGCAAGCGUUGUCCGGAAUCAUUGGGCGUAAAGAGCGCGUAGGCGGUCCGGUAAGUCGGUUGUGAAAGUCGGGGGCUCAACCCUCGGAUGCCGAUCGAUACUGUCGGGCUAGAGUCCGGAAGAGGCGAGUGGAACUCCUGGUGUAGCGGUGGAAUGCGCAGAUAUCAGGAAGAACACCAACGGCGAAGGCAGCUCGCUGGGACGGUACUGACGCUGAGACGCGAAAGCGUGGGGAGCGAACAGG